GUCUGUGGAUUAGUGGCCGAUGGCUACCCUGACCUCAAGACCUUUGGGGGUAAGCCGCCGCUGGUAGCCGCCGUCAGGCGUGAUCCAGUGGUCGGUAUCCUCCUCUUGCGGGGCGUAUGGCGCACCCGAGGAGACAGUCCUUGGUAAACAGGGAUUCGAAUCGGUGUGUGACGGACCGUCCUGUGGGAAACUCAGUGGGGGCAAUUGGAUAGCGGGUGCGAGGAGGGAGCUAAAAGGCCCUUAGGGGUUCUCCUGCCUAGUAACCGUUGCGGUUGCACCGUUCGCGGUGUGAACGCCAUCCAGUGUACAACUCGACCCUCGUUCGCGGGGGUGUCGAGGGAGCCCGGUGGGGCUCUCUCGUCACGAUAGAUACCUGGUUGAUUCUGCCAGUAGUCAUA
rnacentral:misc_RNA from 1 species